rnacentral:lncRNA from 1 species
CACUGCGAAAGUCUGCAGCUUCACUCCUGAACCCGCGAAACCACGAACCCGCCAGAAAGAAAAAACUCCAAACACAGCCCAACAUCAGAAGGAACAAACUCUGGACACACCGCCUUUAAGAACUGUAACACUCACCGCGAGGGUCCACAGCUUUAUUCUUGAAGUCAGUGAGACCAAGAACCCACCUAAUCCUGGACACAAAACCAGCUCAAUCUCCUAAAGACUGAAAGCCCUGGUGUGGCUGGGACCAGGGGCAAGAUGUGGAACACGUGGGGAAGAUGAGAAGGCGCUGGAGAAGGAGGGUGGUGGUCGCAGAUGGGAAUGUACUGAGGCCAGUGAGCUGUGCAGGUAAAAAUGGUUGAUAGUAAGUUUGAUGUGUAUUUUACCACAAUUGUGUGUAUGUGUGUGUAAAAGUUCUGUUUAUCUGUACAAUGGGCAUAAUAUUUGUACCCAUAGUUUGCAGGGUUGUUGAGACAAAGAAAUAGGAUCUAAAGUGCUUGUCACAGUAUCUAGCGCCUAAAUACUGAAGAAUAGUAAUAGAAUUAGCAGCUGAAGAAUGUGCUAUUUAUAUUAAAAUAAAAAAUACAUCAGGUCGUCCCUCAGCCAGGCAGCCAAAGUUAGCACCUACGCAAUGAGCCAUGCUGGCCGUGUGUGCUUUCACGUGGGUGUGAAAAGAACGCCUUACCUCUAUGCUGUUCCUCCCCAGACACAAAACCCUAUCUAAUCACAAGAAAAACAGCAGACACCUCCCACCUGAGAGGAUAGCGGGCCAGGCCUCCUCAAAACUGACGGGCUCAUCAGCAACAAGGAAAGUGUGAGGAACUCUCAGCUUGGGAGGAGCCUGUGGAAACUGACUACAACCACCACUUGCAACAGGGCAUCCUCGGCGGGCUCCCAGACCAGAAAAUGACAUCAGGUAAAAACUAAGGGAAGCUGAAUAAAUGGUGGGCUUUAGUUAUAACAAUGGAUCAGCAUUAGUCCAUUAAUUGUGACAAAUUUGCCAUUCUAAUGUAAGAUGUUAACAAGAGGAGAAACUGGGUGUGGGGUAUAUAGGAACUCUGUGUUAGCUUUGCAAUUGUUCUAUAAAUCUACAACGAAUCUAAAAUUUAACAAUUAUUAGAAGGGAAGACUGAAAAAAGGAUUCAAGAGAAAGUGAUAAUAUUGAAGACGGGAAGAAACUGUGACAUACAGAUAAUAGGAGUCCCUGAAGAAGAAAUCCAAAGUGAACAGAACACUGAAAUUUGUAAAUCAAGAAAAGUUUCCUGAAAUAAAAUAAUUUGAAACUACAUACUGAGAA